GGGGAACCCCCUCCAGGAAAGCCAUCUUGCGGCAGAGGUAUGGAGAACCUGAUGGCUGGCUCAUCUCUACCCCCACUGUUUGCAGAUGAUGAUGGCUCAAAGGAGAGCAGUGAUAUGCCCACAACUGGGUUAGCCCACUCUGAGGGGUCAUACGGUGGAGGAGCUUCGCAGUCUGUGAACAACCCAGACUUUGUGGAGGACUUGUCAGAAAUUCAGUUGCUGCAAAAUGAGUCUUCUAAUACAGCUGAAAGCAGCGAGCAGAGACUUGAAGAAGAGCAAAGAACUAAACGAGGAGGCUGGUCCAAAGGGAGAAAGAGGAAGAAACCCCUUAGGGACAGCAAUGCCCCAAAAUCCCCCCUCACAGGGUAUGUGCGAUUCAUGAAUGAACGUAGGGAGCAGCUUCGAGCGAAGAUGCCUGAAGUCCCUUUCCCAGAGAUCACCAGGAUGCUGGGCAAUGAGUGGAGUAAGCUGCCUCCUGAGGAGAAACGGCGCUACCUUGAUGAAGCAGAUAGAGAUAAGGAACGGUACAUGCGGGAACUGGAGCAGUACCAGAAGACAGAGGCCUACAAAGUCUUUAGCAGGAAAGCACAGGACAGGCAGAAAGGCAAAUCACACCGGCAAGAUGGAACACGACAGACUGCCCACGACCAUGAGAAAGAAGCAGACACAAAGGAGAGGUCUGUUUUUGAUAUCCCAAUCUUCACAGAAGAGUUCCUGAAUCACAGCAAAGCACGGGAAGCAGAGCUGCGCCAGCUGCGUAAAUCCAACAUGGAGUUUGAGGAGAGGAACGCUGCACUGCAGAAGCACGUGGAGAGUAUGCGCACUGCUGUGGAGAAGUUGGAGGUGGAUGUGAUCCAGGAGCGCAGCCGGAACACAGUGUUGCAGCAGCAUCUGGAGACUUUACGGCAAGCACUCACCAGCAGCUUUGCCGGAGUGCCACUACCAGGCAGUGGGGAGACCCCCACAAUGGACACCAUUGACUCAUACAUGAACAGACUGCACAGUAUUAUUCUGGCUAACCCACAGGAGAAUGAGAAUCUCAUAGCCACGGUCCGAGAGGUUGUAAACCGGCUUGAUCGCUAGUGACUUGGGUAAGCACCCCCUUGCUCAGACUGGUUUGCUUACCAGCACCUACACCACAUCCACUGCACCAAGCCUGGAAAUAAAUGAGGGGAAAUUUUCAAAGGCACAAAGAGCAGUGAGAUGCUCAACCAUUUUCAAUGGAAGUUGGGUGUUUUUACUCCCAUUUAUGGCUUUGAAAGUCUCCUCCCUGAUUUCUAAGGGAGACUUAAGUGCUUGGUAUGUCGCAAGAUUGUUCGACAUCUUGGUUGAUGUAUCAGAUGAAUAAGACUGUCAAAGUCUGGAGUAGAACAGAGAAGGAGGAACAUUCCUUUGCAUGCAUGAUGUACUGACUAAAGAUACUGUGGUAGAUGAUAAUGGUGAGGAAGAUUUCUCUGUAGAGCAUGAUGAAUCUGAAGAAUUCUGUAGUCUCCUGGCCCAGGGGUGUCUUACAAAAGUGAUUCAGCCAGUGAGGAAUGAAAAGCCAUGAUGGAAACAGACAGGAGGUGGGAGGCAAGACUUCAGGAUCUGUCCUGGUCCCUGCCUAAGCAGCUUGCCUAUGGGGCAAACUAUUUAAUGAAUUAAAAGCUGCUAUGAAGCCACAGGCACCAGCCACUAAACAUUUGAACUAUCCUCCAUGUAAAGCUUUCAGAGCAUGUUACUACCAUACAAUCAUCAGUUUUCCAUGUUUCAGCUGGGUGGGGGGGAUACCCACACACUCUGUGGACUGGACAAGAAUGAAGGUGAAUGUACUUCCAAUCUGUGUAGUGGAGGCAGCCUUUGUGUUGUGGUAAUAGAGCUUUGAAAUGUUAUGUUGCUUUGUAUCUCUUCAUCCUUUCUGUAGGGUUUCCUUCUCCCCUUCCAGUUCUCCUUUUGUCCUUUUCCUGUUAGCUGAUGUUCACUGCACUGUAUAGCAACACCUGGAUUCUUUGCUAUGACAGACACAGCCUUCCUUACUGCACCAUCCUGCCCCGCCUGUCGUGUCUUCAAUGCAAGCUUCUCUUUUAUGUGCUAGGCUGCAUCUCGUACAACAUGAGGUUCCUUCCUGCUGGUAUUGGCUGUGGCUGGCGCUUCAUCACUGAGCUACCCUGAAGGAAGGGCUCUCUCUUUUCCCCCUCCCAGCUACUCUUUCCAAGCAUCUCUGCUGCAAGUACACAGUGUCCUGCUUCUCAGCAAGACUCCGCUGUUCCUAUCUAUUGAAAAUGGCUGGUGCAGCAUUUUACUGCUGAAAAGGUCAGCAGUAAUCAAGAGAGAAAGUGAAAAGCUGGCUUCUCUCAGCCAGCAGGAAAAGUGCAAAACUAUAUUUUAGACUAAAAUAAAACACGUCGCUUUUCUGUCCUCUGAUAUGUUGCUUUGUCUAAUAUGAUGUGAGUUGCAGCCUGCUUGAGCGAAUGAUAUUCUGUUCCAAGUCAUCUCUCCACCACAAAGGGGAAUGGGCAGGGGAAUUCCAUUUCCCUCUAUCCAUCUGCUGUUGUAGCACUAAGGAACCAUUUUUAUAAAAGGGGCCUGCAAUGAAGUGUAACAGCAGAGAGCAGCUUUAGCAAAGGUGAGCAAACUGUGGUGCACAGAAUUCCAUAGUGCAGCUCACAGCUACCCUCACCUUUAAUACAAAAGUGCAUCUUCUGGAGACUACCGCUUCCUGCAUGGGAUGUUCCUGCUUGAUUUGAGUGGCCUUUUACUCAUGGCAAUUGUCUUUUUGCGUGCUGAGAUCUGUAGUUUCUCUGAGUUACACCUCACCUGCUUGUCAGAGAUGAAGACAUCUACUGUCUGCACUGUCUUAUGCAAAUUAUUUGUAGCCCUUGGGGUCCUGUCAAAUUAUUAGUUCAGGCUUUAGUUGAGAACUUCUUGAAUACCCUUGGGCUUUAUUAUGAUGGUUCAACCAUGCUGUCUGUUCUACAUGCCACCUUCCUACUCUUCCUUCAGAAAAUCUUGGGACUUUUCCUGUCAUGAACUGGGAAUGCUUUUAUUACCUUGCCAUGCUGAUGCAAGCAAGAACAGUUUCAUGAAUCUGCAAUAUAAGCAUCUGCCUAACUUUAUAUUUGAAGAUUAAAAAGUAGUUCUUCCUUUUCCACUCUUUAGUGCACGCUGCACAGAUUUCACACUUGCUUGAAGCCACCUCCAAGUCAAAGCCUUCUGUGAUGGGCUCACUCACCCCUUGCCUUGCAGCUGCUACCUUCACUGCUGCCAAACAGCAAGGAUUUGUGUGUAAGCUCGAGUCUUCCUUCACGGAGGGACUCAUUUUUGUCUUCUCUCUCAUCAUUUUUCAAGACUUCAUUCACAAGAGCUGCAACUUGGGGCACUGACUUUCUUUUUCCUUAGCAUAGGCAAGACCUAAGUUCCCUGUAAGCUUCGCAGCCUCAAAGCAUCCUAUUUAGUGCUGCGCAGGCACUUGGAGAACCGUCCUGGAGACCUGCCGCAGCCGGGGCGGCCCAGACCCAGCUGCAGCCAGAUCGGGCCCAGGCGUGGCCGUAGCAGUACAGCUUGGCCCGGACCCAGGAGCAACCUGGACCUGCUGGGGCCGGGGAGGGGCACCUAUCCUGCAGCCUCAGCCCCAGAGUUGCCACAGCAGGGAGAGGUACCUCUCCCCCUCAGCCCAGGUGCUGCUGCAGGGAGAGAGAGCUGGGAGGAGUCCUCUCUCCCCGCUGUAGCUCUGGAGCACCCUCCUGCACCCUAAACCAAUCAUCCCCCGCCCCACCCCAGAGCCCGCACCCCCAGCCAGAGCCCCCACAUGCCUGCACCCCAACCCUAUGCCCUAGCCCUGAGCUGCCUCCCAUAUGCCGAACCCCUUAGUCCCACCCCCACCACAUGAAUUUUGUUACAUGCACCAAUAUGAAAGUGAUGUGUGUCACAUCACCUCCAUAUUGGUGCACGUAACAAAAUUCAUUCCGCACAUGGGUGGGAAAAUUAGAGGGAACACUGGGCAAGACCAGCUGAUGUUAGCAUGAACUAGUUCUGAGUUCUGUAGUGAAGAAGGGGUUGUGGAAGGACAUCCUGUAGAUAAAUAGUAUCUCGGGAAAAAGCACUUCCGUCUCACACUAUUUAGUAACAGUGGCAAUUGACUGCUGUAUUGAAGUGGGAGUAGCCUAAGUGCAGUCCACAGCCAAAACCUGGGCCCACAGAGUUCUAACAAAUCAGUCAGUGGUAACUCUUAUCUUUAAUACAGAGAUACACUCCAUGGAGACUCAAGGUCUCAGCAUGUGAUGCGAGGGCUUGAUCCACUUUGGGUCCAUAUUUAAGGUGUGGAUAGCUGCAAGCUGCCCUGUCUUACACAAAUCAGAUGUAGCCAUCAGCUCCUGGCACAUUGCCAGUCUAUCUCUGUGUUGGGCAAAGCAUGCCUGUUCUUGGAUGGGAGAACCAAGCGGGUACUUACUGUUAGCUGAAUGCUGACUGACAAAUCUUUCCCUUUUCCCCAACAUAGAGGAAGAGAGAUGUGAUGACAUGGCCAAUUUUGAAGCAGCUGGGAUGGGGGGGUAUGGUUUGAGUUCUUGCUCUCCAACAAUAUUAUAGAUGAUGUUUUGUCUCAUUAAGAAGCUUCAAAUCUGCACUGAUUUACCCAAUGAAAAAUGAAUUUUGUCUUUUCAGUGUUUUUCAUGAGUGUCACUUCAGUUUACAUUUUUCAGUGUGUUGGCUGACAAAAAAAAAUUAAGUGGGUGGUGAGGGGAGGAGGAGGGUCAGACAUUUUCUUUGCUCUGAGAAAUGUUAACAAAAACAUAUUAAAAUGGAGUCCAUUUUCUGGAUUAAUGUGUUUGGAAUUGUUGAAAUGCCAAGUUUUCUGUACAAGUGUUUUGCAAUUAAACUUUUAGACUUUAUUUGUUUAAGAAGAUGAUAUGCUUGCUUGACAUUUGCUUCAUUAAAACUGUUCAACAUUGAA